GGUUAGCGGGUGUGUUUCAGACCAGGUUAGCGGGUGUGUUUAGACCAGGUUAACGGGUGUGUCUCCCUCUCAGGUGACCCUGGGGAAGGUGUUGAAGGCGAUCGUUGUCAUGCGUUCCCUGUUCAUUGAUAGAACCGUCGUACGAGGAUUUAACGAAAAUGUUUACAAUGAGGAUGGAAAGCUGGACAUCUGGACAAAGUCUCAGUACCAGGUGUUCCAAAAGGUAACUGACCACGCCUCCACCGCCCUGCUACACUACCAGCUGCCUCAGAUGCCCGACGUGGUGGUCAGGUCCUUUAUGGUGAGACACCUGUCUGUCUGUCUGUGGUCAGGUCCUUUAUGGUGAGACACCUGUCUGUGGUCAGGUCCUUUAUGGUGAGACACCUACCUGUCUCUGUCUGUGGCCAGGUCCUUUAUGGUGAGACACCUACCUGUCUGUCUGUCUGUGGUCGGGUCCUUUAUGGUGAGACAUCUACCUCAGAUGCCCGACGUGGUGGUCAGGUCCUUUAUGACCUGGUUGCGGAGCUACAUUAAACUCUUCCAGUCUUCCUGUCAGCGCUGUGGUCGUUUCCUGCAGGACGGACUUCCUCCAACAUGGAGGGACUUUAGGACCCUGGAGGCAUUUCACGACACCUGUCGCAUGUGAAGAAUCACUUCCUGUUUAUUUGUUUACGGACUAAAUUCUUUUUGUACAAACAAGUUUGAAUAAAGUUGGAUUAUAAUGUUUUUACAGUUGUGUAUUUUUCAUAUUUUCAAGUAUGAUCUUAAAGUUAAUUCAAACUUUCACUUAUUAUUAAUACCUUGUUAUACAUACUGACUGAACUCAAAUGGAUCAUUUAUUUUUUAUAACCAUAAAAAACACGAUUUUAUUAAGAUGCUGCUGAAUUGCAGCUGAAUUCUUUUUUCUAUUUCAUACAAUAUUCAAUAUAAAUGUACACAGUAAAAUCGACAGUGUCAAUGAAACACUUAAAGAGUCAAUUUUAACUGAUUCAGUGAACAUAUGGUGCCCAUCUACAGAGUGUUAAAGCUACACUGGACAUAGUGUUACAUUUUUAGAGUCAAUUUAACUCUGGUUAGAGUUAAUAUUUUACACUACACUACACUGAGAAGUGUUACUCAAAUUUGACACUAUGAUGUAAAUAGCACUCGUAGUGUUAUUUAAAUUUGACACUUGGUCUUUUUGAGUGUUAAUCAAAAUUAACUCUAAGUUACUCUUCAUGAGUGUUGGACCUACUUGACACCAAGUGUUUAAGAAAUUACUCUAAAUACAGUGUUGAUGUUUAACUGACUCCUGCAGUGUUAAAACAUAUUUACUCUCUUAGUGUAAUUCUUACCCAACACCUUAUUUUCAAUUUACUCCUUUUUAACUCUUCAACAGAACACUUUUAAGAGUUUUGCAUUUUCUACUUUACCAUGUCAGCUGACACUUCAAACAAUAAAACAAAAAAUGUUUGCAGGGGAAAAAACAAACACCAUUAUAUCCAUAUCU